UACGUAGGGUGCAAGCGUUGUCCGGAAUUAUUGGGCGUAAAGAGCUCGUAGGCGGUUUGUCGCGUCUGCUGUGAAAACUCGGGGCUUAACCCCGGGCCUGCAGUGGGUACGGGCAGACUAGAGUGCGGUAGGGGAGACUGGAAUUCCUGGUGUAGCGGUGAAAUGCGCAGAUAUCAGGAGGAACACCGGUGGCGAAGGCGGGCCUCUGGGCCGUAACUGACGCUGAGGAGCGAAAGCAUGGGGAGCGAACAGG
rnacentral:rRNA from 1 species